AAAUUGAAGAGUUUGAUCAUGGCUCAGAUUGAACGCUGGCGGCAGGCCUAACACAUGCAAGUCGAACGGUAACAGGAAACAGCUUGCUGCUUUGCUGACGAGUGGCGGACGGGUGAGUAAUGUCUGGGAAACUGCCUGAUGGAGGGGGAUAACUACUGGAAACGGUAGCUAAUACCGCAUAACGUCGCAAGACCAAAGAGGGGGACCUUAGGGCCUCUUGCCAUCGGAUGUGCCCAGAUGGGAUUAGCUAGUAGGUGGGGUAACGGCUCACCUAGGCGACGAUCCCUAGCUGGUCUGAGAGGAUGACCAGCCACACUGGAACUGAGACACGGUCCAGACUCCUACGGGAGGCAGCAGUGGGGAAUAUUGCACAAUGGGCGCAAGCCUGAUG
rnacentral:rRNA from 1 species